rnacentral:tRNA from 1 species
UGGCUCAGUGGUAGAGCACUUGCUUUGCAUGCACAAGGCCUUGGGUUCGAGCCCCAG